rnacentral:lncRNA from 1 species
AGAUUGGCCAACACUUGAGUGGAUUUUAGGAUUUUUCUUCUAAUUGAUAAAAGAAUUAUCUUCAAAUUUUGUGUACUUAUUGCUAACUUAGUUUUUGAAAAGUGUGUAAAUUUUUAAGUAAGAUCAAUGGUUUGAUUGAUAGAUAUUGAUGUUCUAAAUAGUACUAGGAAUAAAUUGAGUUGGUUAGGAUUUGGUUAGGAUUUGGUUUAGGAUUAAGAUUUGAUUUAAGGUUUGGUUUAGGAUUUGAUUUAAGUUCUAGGAUUUAUCUAGGAUUUGAUUUAAGAUUUAGAAUUUAUCUAAGAUUUGGUUUAGAAUUUAGGAUUUGUCUAGGAUUUGGUUUAGCAUUUAGGAUUUAUCUAGGAUUUCGUUUAAGAUUUAGAAUUUGUUUAGGGUUUGAUUUAGGGUUUAGAAUUUUUUUAGGAUUUAGUUUAGGAUUUAGGAUUUAACUAGAGUUUGGUUUAAGAUUAAAGAUUUGUUUAGAAUUUGAUUUAAGAUUUGUCUCAAAUUUGAUUUAAGAUUUGAUUUAAGGUUUAAAAUUUAUUUAGGAUUUGAUUUAGAUUUUAGGAUUUGUCUAGGAUUUAGUUUAGGAUUUGAGAUUUGUCUAAGGUUUGAUCUACAAUUUAAUUUAGAGUUUAGGAUUUAUUUAGGAUUUGAUUGAAAUUCAUUAGGAUUCAAUUAGGAUUAAAUUAGAACUUGGUUGAAAUUUAUUUAAGAUAUAUUUUUAAUUAUUCUAGUAUUUUUUAAAAUUUCUUAGAUUCUUUUAAGGUUUAUUGUAGAUUUUCUUUCAACUCCUUUAAGAUUUCUUAUUAUUUCUUUUGUAAUUUCUUUAAGAUUUCUUUUGAAUUUUAUUAAAAAUUAUUUAACAUUAUUAAAGUUUAAUUAAAAUUUAUUUAGUAUUCUAUUAGAGUUAAGAUUUUUUUGUAGCAAUUUCCAUUCUAUCUUCCACAACUAGGUGCCCGAUACAUUUGCAAGUAAGACUUCAUACAAUACGUUAUUUUUAUAUUGUUUAUUGAAGAAAGGGUGGAAGUUUCAAUGGAAUAUUGAGCAAAAUAAGAUGAUAAAAAAGUUGAAAAAUUAAAAAAUUAAAAAAAAUUCUUUCUUUACUUCAAACUUUAAAAAAAUUAAUUAUAAUUUAAGGAGACUAGUGGUACUAAAAGUUAAUAUAAGUCCAAUUAGAAUAGAUUGAAUAGUUGGAUAAGAUGAUGAAUAAAGGAAUAAAUAUGUAGUAAGGUUUAGAACAAAGGUUUGAAUAUUAAAAAAAGAAAAUAUGUACAAAUCAAAAGAAAAUUAUGGAGUAUAGUAAUAGUUAUGAAAAAUAAAAAAAUACUUGAUUAAUAUAUUAAUAGUUAUAAAAAUAGAUUAUCUAUAUUUAUUAGAUAUAAUUAUAAAUUUUUUAAUUUUUAAUAUUGCUAUAUUAAGAUAGAUAGCAUAUAUAAAAUAUAUGAAUCCAAAAUUUAAGUACAUUAUAAAGAAAGAUAAUUCAAUUGCGGAUAUAUUAUUAAGAGCUUGGUAUUAUGAUGAAAAAAAUAUGAUUGAUUUCAAAGAUGAUGUAGAUACAAACUUUCAUACUAAUAUAUUAUAAAAAAAAAAGGUAUAUUUUUGAAUACACAAUUAAAAAUAUUUUUAAAAAAUUUAUGUAAAGAUGAAUAGAAAGAUGUUGGAAAGUAUUUAAGCAAAUUAAAGCAACAAUGGAGUUUGACAAAUCAAGAUUUAAAAAAAAAUUGUAAGUAAGUCUAUAGAUAUUUUUUACACAAUGGAUAUUUAUGGGAGCAUUCAAAGAAGAAAGGAAAAGUACUAAAAUGGGUGAUAUGUAGUUUAGAAGCUGAGCCAAAGAUUAUUAAAGAAUUUCAUAAAAGUUUAUAAGCAAGAUAUAGAAGAAUUUAGGCAAUUUUUACUAAAUUGAAGGAAAAGUAUUGGUGAAAAUGCAUAUAUAAUUAUGUAGUAGAUUUUAUAGGAUUAUGUGAGAUUUUACAACUUUAUUCUAAUAUUUGGCAACAAAAUGGAUUAUAUCCAACUUAUUUUUUAGAUCUAUAUUAUAAGUAGAUAAUAAAUUUAACAUCAAUACCUAUGGGACUUAGAUAAAUGAAGUAUUUAAUAUUUAUACGUAAUUUAUUAAAUAUAAUUGAAAGAUGAGAAUUAAGAAUAAAAAGUACUAAAAGUAUAUGUCAAUUUUUCUUAAAAGAAAUUAUUUGUUGAUAUAGUUGUAUUAGAAAAAUCAGUGCAGAUAGAAGUGAACUGGAUUCAAAAGAAAUAAGAAAAUUCUUUAAGAUAAUAGAAAUUAAACUUUCUUUGAUAAUAGUAUAUAAUCUAGGAGGUAAAGGAAAGAAUGAAUAUAGACAUUCACCUAUUAUUAAGACAUUAGUAAAGGCAUAUAAUGACAAAGUACAUUAGUAGCCUAGGCUACUAUCAUUUAUAUUAUGUGCACACUAUACAACUCAUAAUAUGGUGAUUAGUUAUAUAUCUUAUGAAUUAAUAUAUGGGAAAAAGCCAAUUAUACCAAUAGAAGAAACAAUAUCUACAUGGAGAGUGUUGCUUUGAAAAGAUGAUCUUAAUAGAGAGGAAAUUUUAGCAUUAUAGAUUCAAUAAUUAGAAAAAAAUCUAAAAAUAUUGAAGUAGCAAUAAAAAAGUUAAAAGAAGCAAAGAAAAAUAGUAAAGAAAGAUUUAAUAAAAUGCAUCAACUACCGCAUAAACCAAUUUAAGGAGGUGAUUGGAUCUUAAUCUAUGAUAAUAGUUUGGAUAACCAAUAUAAUAUAUUUUACAAAAGUUUUUUAAGCUUUGAUUUGAAUUAUAUAUUGUAAGAGAUGUUUAUAAUAAUGAUACAUAUAUAUUUCAUAAACUUAAUAAAACAAAAUUGAAGACAUCUAUAGUAAAAAAGUGAAUCAAAGUGAGAGUGGAAGACGAGAUUGAAGUCCAAGAAUUUAACCAAGAUAAUAAGUGUACUACAUCAACAUAUUAAAAAUUUAUUAGUAAAUGCCAAAAAGAUGCAUAUAUUUAAGGAGAUAGAUAUUGUAUAAUAAUAUGGCAAUUAGGUUAAAUAUAUAUAUAUAUAUAUAUAUUAAAGAAAAGCUUAAUUUAAAAGAUAUAGUAGAAAAAUAUAAAUAAAAGAUAAUAAAGUAAUAAAAUCUUAUAGUAUUAGAAUUAAUUUUUUAAAAAAUAGAUUCUAUUUAAUUUUUAUAGCCAUGAAUAAAAAAAAUAAGAUAGAUAAAAAAAUAAAGAAUAUAAAUAUAUAUAAGAAGAAGUUAAGAAUUGAUUUUAGUAAAAUAAACUUUAAAAAAAUAAAAAAUAAUAUUUAGAGAUGGCCAAUUACUAAUUAGGAUUGAAAUUAGAUCUUUAUGCACAAAACCAAGCAUCUAUGCUAUUUUUAAGGUCUUUUUGAAAAUUAGAAAGUAGAAUUUGAGAAUAAACUAGAUUAGGCUUUUUUGAGCAUUAAUUUUGAAGGAUUUGAGUUUGUAAUGACUUUGUAAGAAUUUUGCAAAGUUACGGUUUUUUUAGGUGACUCUAGUUGUAAAAUAAAAUAGGAUUGGUAUUUUAGAUAAUUUUUUAAGUUUUGUAAUACAUUUAUGAAUAAAAAUUUAUAGAUUUAUGAGUAUAGUUGUACUAAAUGUAUACUAUGAGUAUGAACUUUAUUAAAUGGUUAUGUUUAAGAUUAUUAAAUUUUAAGUGGAUUAAGAUCUUAAAAAUUAGAGUUUAAAGGUCAAUGAGAAUUUCUAAGAUAUUUAAUAAUUUAUUAGUUGGAUUAAAAUAUAAAUUAUUUAUAAAAAUUGUAUAUUUGAUUUUAAAUAUUUAUGUGAAAUUUGAAAGUAUCUCAAUGGUUUAAAAAAGAUAUGUUGGGGCUAAGACCUUGGUAUCAAGAUUGAAAAAGGAGAUUGCCAAACAUUCAAAUGAAUUAUCUUGUAUUUCUCGUAAUAGAUAAGUACCAUUGAUUUUAUUUUUUUUAUACUUUUUAGAAGUUGUAAAAGAGUGUAAAAUUUUUGAGUUGAUAUCAAGAAUUUGAUUAUUAGUUGUUGACACUUCAAUCUAUUAUAGGAUUUAAUAAGAAUUUAUUUAGAAUUUAUGAUUUGAUUAGAUUUGGUCUAAGAGUUAGGAUUUACUUAGGAUUUAUUUAGAAUUUGUUUAGAGCUUAGUUAGAAUUUAUUAGGGUUUGAUUAGGAUUUGAUUUAAAAUUUGAAUAGAAUUUAGAGUUUGAUUAGAGUUUGAUUUAGGAUUAAGAUUUAGGAUUUGAUUAAAAUUUUAUUUAGAUUUUAGCUAGAAUUUAUUAGGAUUUGAUUAAGAUUUGAUAAGAAUUUAAGAUUUUACUAAGAUUUAAUAAAAAGAUAUAGAAUUCGAUUAAAAUUUGGUUAGGAUUGAUUUAAGAUUUAUUUAAGGCUUGAUUAAAAUUGGUUUAGGAUUUAAUUAGGGCUUGAUUAGAAUUGGUUUAGAAUUUGAUUAAGAUUUGAUUUAAGAUUUGAUUAGAGUUUAGAAUUUUUUAAAGGCUUGAUAAGGAUUGAUUUAGGAUUUUAUUAGGGCUUGAUUUAGGAUUUAUUUAGGAUUGGUUUGAAAUUUUAUUAGAAUUUGUUGAAGAUUAUAUUAAUAUUUGAUUA